GGGCCCGCACAAGCGGCGGAGCAUGCGGAUUAAUUCGAUGCAACGCGAAGAACCUUACCAAGGCUUGACAUGGGCCGGAUCGCCGCAGAAAUGUGGUUUCCCCUUUGGGGCCGGUUCACAGGUGGUGCAUGGUUGUCGUCAGCUCGUGUCGUGAGAUGUUGGGUUAAGUCCCGCAACGAGCGCAACCCUCGUUCUAUGUUGCCAGCACGUGAUGGUGGGGACUCAUAGGAGACUGCCGGGGUCAACUCGGAGGAAGGUGGGGACGACGUCAAAUCAUCAUGCCCCUUAUGUCUUGGGCUUCACGCAUGCUACAAUGGCCGGUACAAAGGGUUGCGAUACUGUGAGGUGGAGCUAAUCCCAAAAAGCCGGUCUCAGUUCGGAUUGGGGUCUGCAACUCGACCCCAUGAAGUCGGAGUCGCUAGUAAUCGCAGAUCAGCAACGCUGCGGUGAAUACGUUCCCGGGCCUUGUACACACCGCCCGUCAAGUCACGAAAGUUGGUAACACCCGAAGCCGGUGGCCUAACCCCUUUGUGGGAGGGAGCUGUCGAAGGUGGGACUGGCGAUUGGGACU
rnacentral:rRNA from 1 species